GGCCCCUUAGCUCAGUUGGUCAGAGCAGUCAACUCAUAAUCGAUUGGUCACUGGUUCAAGUCCAGUAGGGGCCACCA
rnacentral:tRNA from 1 species